rnacentral:sRNA from 1 species
GCCUGCUGUAUACCAAAGCUAAGUCUGAGCAUCUAGGGUGGAGGAGGGCUGGUAGAAAGAGGACAUCUGAGCGAGGGAACAGACUCAGAAGGUAUUCCUUUCGUGUGAACAUCUAUUCAACACUUAACGCCUACUGUAUACUAAAAAUAGUGCUGGACAUCACGGAGAAUAGAGAAGAAGAGGAAUCAGAGCGUUACGUGUCUCCGCAGUAAAGGGAACAAAGCCAGACACCAGUGCUUUUAGCAUUUGCUCAUUCAUUUACCACUUACUGAAUGCCGGGCCCCUUGUGAAGAGACGCAUCAUAAGAAUCAUAAUAAUCAUGGUAAUAGCUACUACUUAGAAAGGACUUACUGUGUGCUUAGUAGUGUCUUAAGGCUUUCCAUAGCAUGAACUCAUUUCGUCCACAGCAAACCCAUGUGGGGCAAAAUACUUCAAAGGGAAAAAGAUCCAUGGAGAAAUUGACAUUAAAGUAGAACAGGCCGAAUUCUCUGAUCUCAACCUUGUGGCCCAUGCCAAUGGUGGAUUCUCUGUGGAUAUGGAAGUUCUUCGGAACGGGGUGAAGGUCGUGCGGUCUCUGAAGCCGGAUUUUGUGCUGAUCCGCCAGCACGCCUUCAGCAUGGCACGCAACGGAGACUACCGCAGUUUGGUCAUUGGGCUGCAGUAUGCUGGAAUCCCCAGUGUUAACUCCUUGCAUUCUGUCUACAACUUCUGUGACAA